UCUUAUAUAGCAAUGAGGAUUGUGAAAGAAGCUAACAAUAUCUUUAGAGAAGAUGGCAGCCGGCUGGGAUCUGGAAGUAACUUGGAGGCCCUGACACCAAGCCCUAAAGGAAGAUUGCCUCUCUCCGUAACUCAGAUCUCUGUGUAGCACCUGGGACGUAGACACUGGCAAUGAGGGUUUCUGGGAGCAGAGAGCAAGACCUGGAUGCUUCUAAGUAAAAGACGACGAACUUCCUUGUUGGAGGCUUUUGCACAGGCCUUGAUUGCCCCUUCCUCUCCUUAGACAUUAUCUCCACCUGGUGAACCCACUCGCUCCUCAGGACUUGCUCAGAAGAGCUCCUGUGAGCACAAAGCUCACACGAAGAUGGUCACCGCCUGCAACCCAAGGGGAGAGCCCUCACCAGAGACCAGCCUUGCUGGCACCCUAAUCUUGGACUUCUGUCAUGUAAGUCAUUGAAUCUAUGGUAUUUUUUUGUGGUAGCCUAAGCCAGCUAAUACAGCCCUGAAGAAGCAAACUGUCGCAUUGUCAGAGAACCAUAUGGCAGGAAUAGCAGGGGCCUUUAGAACCUGGGGCCUCCAUUCUACAGCUUUGAGGAUCUGAAUUCUGCCAACUACCAGGGAGCUUGGAAGGGGACCUGAAGUUCCAGGUGAAAAUGCAGGCUGAUGAGACCCUGGGCAGAGAACACAGCUAAGUGAUGCCCAGACUUCAUGGAAACUGUGAGAUAAUAAAUGGGUGUUGUUUUAAGACACUAAGUUUGUGGUCCUUUGUUACAUAGUACAGAAAAGUAAUACAUAGAGCUUUU